AGACAGAGAAGGAGGAGGGAGAAAGCACUGGAGCUUGGAGAUGUGUUGAGAGAUUUGGAAAACCUGAGAAUUGGAGUAAGGAAGACCCUGCCCAGCAGGACAGGGAGACUCCCUUCCCCCCAGCAUCUAAGGACCAAGAGUAACCCCACCUAAGGGGGAGGAAGAUGGGCAAG